GGUUUGCGUGUAGAUCAGCAUGAAGUAGAACACAUCUGAAAGAUGUGUGGGCUGCCUGCACUCAACGUUGCGAUAAUUCAGUAGAGUGUAACCUCAAUCGGUUUCUGCAGCUUGUGGGUGUCGUGUCGAACGAUCGCAGAACGAUUUUUUGUUCUUUUCCAACUCGAUUUUAACUCCCUAGACUAGUAGGAUGUUCCAACGGGUGAAGCAACAGUGCUGACGGCAGAGUUUCAGUGUCAAUUUUUCAUGCCAUGAUCACUGGGGCGGAAACCAUUAUGACGUUGCCUUGGACAUCAAACUAAACCAUCUCAUUCUGGCUUUUUUCUAACAUCGAAAUCUCAGAAGGCCAGGACUAAGAUGGACGCAGCCUCCACAUGCAACCUUGCAUUUGAGGAACACCCAUAGAACGGUCAACUUACCCCAUACUCUAACCUGAAUGCAGGGAUCAUAAAACUUUAUCUUUUACCUUAAUUGUUAGAUGGGUGUUGAUACCAAACUUUUUUGUCUCGUCUACCCAGGAGAAAGUCAUGGGUUCUGCUGCUGAGUGUCUUUUAUUCUGCUUACCGGACUCAUUCAGAAUUCUGGCUUGAUGUUUGGUCCACCUGUUAGCUGGCUCUGGUGCUUGGUAGUCUUCUCAAACCUCUGAAUCAAGGCCACCAUGAGAGGCCUUCUGAAGACCAUCAUUACGCUUCAGAUCCAGUUGUCUUAACUAUGAGAUAGAACUGAACUGGAGUCUGUGAACUAAUGCUGUGUUCGAGACAACUGGAACAGCAAACAAAGUUGAGUAUCCGACCUCUCAACUUGUGACUGAUCGAUCAGCACCAACCUCAACGAGAUGCAUCAUUUGACAUUGCAGACAAGAUCCUUUCUCUUUUUAAUGCAGCACUUAAGGAUGAACCACCCUGAUCUACUAAGAUGCACAGAUUCAACUCUGGCCCAGCAUCAUCCCCACACCUCAUCUGCCAUCAGUUUAAUUUAAUGUCUGUCAAUUGCAAAUGCUAUUUAUUUCAGUUAUAUUACAACUUAAUGUUAACUUUAAUUGAGACUAGUAUUGUGUAAAGCUGGGGUUUCCAAACUUUUCAUUUCAAAACCUAUUAGACAAGUGUAAUCUAUUCUAGACCCACUAAAAUAUUUUUACAUAUACAUUUUUUUAAUGGGGUAAAACACAUUUGUUCUCUUUCAGUGGAGUCAUUUUAUUUUCAUAAUAUUUCAUAAUGUAAAGCAGUGGUUCUAAACGUUAUUCCUCGAGGCCCAUUGCUCUGCACAUUUUGUAUGUCUCUUUUAUCUGACAGACUCAGUUCAGUUCAUUGAGAUCUCUUCUAAUGAGCUGAUGAUUUGAAUCAGGUGUGUUAAAUAAGGGAGACAUACAAAAUGUGCAGGGCAGUGGGCCUCGAGGAAUAACAUUAAGAACCACUGAUGUAAAGUAAAUACAAGUUUAUUUGCAAUACCAAAUAUUUUAUGGUAUAUUCUUUCAAAACCAUUGUCAUUGUUAUUUAUUAAUUUGGCCAAACUGUUGUUGCAUCAUUAAGGUGUGCAACACACCUUAACCUACUGUGUGACCGACAAGUGGGUCCUCCUGACCCACAGUUUAAAAUCCCCUGGUGUACUGAAUGUAUUGUAAUUAAAGUCGCAUCUAAGUCUUG